GACGAACCGUGCGAACGUUGUUCGGAAUCACUGGGCUUAAAGGGCGCGUAGGCGGGCUGCCAAGUCCGUGGUGAAAUCCCCCGGCUCAACCGGGGAAUGGCCUCGGAUACUGGCGGUCUUGAGGGAGGUAGGGGCGUGCGGAACUGUAGGUGGAGCGGUGAAAUGCGUUGAUAUCUACAGGAACUCCGGUGGCGAAGGCGGCACGCUGGACCUCUUCUGACGCUGAGGCGCGAAAGCCAGGGGAGCGAACGGG
rnacentral:rRNA from 2 species